rnacentral:rRNA from 1 species
GACGAACGCUGGCGGCGUGCUUAACACAUGCAAGUCGAGCGGAGCGGCGAACGGGUGAGUAACGCGUUAGUAACUGCCCCCCUCCCUGGGGUAACAGUUGGAAACGGCUGCUAAUACCGGAUAGUGGGGGAUGACUCGGGUCCUAUCAGCUUGUUGGUGGGGUAGUGGCCUACCAAGGCGACGACGGGUAGCCUGCCUGAGCGGUCGACCGGCCACAUUGGGCUGAGAUAGGGACCAAACUGCAACGGGGGGCAGCGGUGGGGAAUAUUGCGCAAUGGGGGAGACCGUAAGGAAGCAACGCCGCGUGCGGAAUGACGGCCUUCGGGUUGUAAACCGCUUUAAGCCAUGACGCGGUAGUGGCAGAAGAAGCACCGGCUAACUACGUGCCAGCAGCCGCGGUAAUAC